rnacentral:rRNA from 1 species
GAUGAACGCUGGCGGCGUGCCUAAUACAUGCAAGUCGAACGAGUUCUCGUUGAUGAUCGGUGCUUGCACCGAGAUUCAACAUGGAACGAGUGGCGGACGGGUGAGUAACACGUGGGUAACCUGCCCUUAAGUGGGGGAUAACAUUUGGAAACAGAUGCUAAUACCGCAUAGAUCCAAGAACCGCAUGGUUCUUGGCUGAAAGAUGGCGUAAGCUAUCGCUUUUGGAUGGACCCGCGGCGUAUUAGCUAGUUGGUGAGGUAAUGGCUCACCAAGGCGAUGAUACGUAGCCGAACUGAGAGGUUGAUCGGCCACAUUGGGACUGAGACACGGCCCAAACUCCUACGGGAGGCAGCAGUAGGGAAUCUUCCACAAUGGACGCAAGUCUGAUGGAGCAACGCCGCGUGAGUGAAGAAGGCUUUCGGGUCGUAAAACUCUGUUGUUGGAGAAGAAUGGUCGGCAGAGUAACUGUUGUCGGCGUGACGGUAUCCAACCAGAAAGCCACGGCUAACUACGUGCCAGCAGCCGCGGUAAUACGUAGGUGGCAAGCGUUAUCCGGAUUUAUUGGGCGUAAAGCGAGCGCAGGCGGUUUUUUAAGUCUGAUGUGAAAGCCCUCGGCUUAACCGAGGAAGCGCAUCGGAAACUGGGAAACUUGAGUGCAGAAGAGGACAGUGGAACUCCAUGUGUAGCGGUGAAAUGCGUAGAUAUAUGGAAGAACACCAGUGGCGAAGGCGGCUGUCUGGUCUGUAACUGACGCUGAGGCUCGAAAGCAUGGGUAGCGAACAGGAUUAGAUACCCUGGUAGUCCAUGCCGUAAACGAUGAAUGCUAGGUGUUGGAGGGUUUCCGCCCUUCAGUGCCGCAGCUAACGCAUUAAGCGUUCCGCCUGGGGAGUACGACCGCAAGGUUGAAACUCAAAGGAAUUGACGGGGGCCCGCACAAGCGGUGGAGCAUGUGGUUUAAUUCGAAGCAACGCGAAGAACCUUACCAGGUCUUGACAUCUUUUGAUCACCUGAGAGAUCAGGCUUCCCCUUCGGGGGCAAAAUGACAGGUGGUGCAUGGUUGUCGUCAGCUCGUGUCGUGAGAUGUUGGGUUAAGUCCCGCAACGAGCGCAACCCUUAUGACUAGUUGCCAGCAUUUAGUUGGGCACUCUAGUAAGACUGCCGGUGACAAACCGGAGGAAGGUGGGGAUGACGUCAAAUCAUCAUGCCCCUUAUGACCUGGGCUACACACGUGCUACAAUGGAUGGUACAACGAGUCGCGAGACCGCGAGGUCAAGCUAAUCUCUUAAAGCCAUUCUCAGUUCGGACUGUAGGCUGCAACUCGCCUACACGAAGUCGGAAUCGCCAGUAAUCGCGGAUCAGCACGCCGCGGUGAAUACGUUCCCGGGCCUUGUACACACCGCCCGUCACACCAUGAGAGUUUGUAACACCCGAAGCCGGUGGCGUAACCCUUUUAGGGAGCGAGCCGUCUAAGGUGGGACAAAUGAUUAGGGUG